UCUAAAUAUGUGUUAAAAUCUAUACUGAAAGAGUCCAUUUUCCUGAAUGUUAAUUUUACAAAUUAAAUUUAUGGGGUGAUUGGCCAGGGAAGUCCUCGCUCAAUAAAGUUUUGAAUUGCAAGACUAAUUCCAGGUGGAUAGUGCAGCAAGGGAAAAGGCCCUGAGGCAAGCAGCAUGCCUGGGGAUUUGAGAAACAGAGGACAACACAUGGCCAGCACCCCAGUGAGAGGAUGAAACACCCCCUGGCCUUGUGGGUGUCUGGGACAGUUCAAAUGGGAAAGCAAUGAGUGCAGGAAUGCACCUGGCUCCUCACAGGACAUUGGAACUUGAGAGAGGGGUAGUGCAGGAGAUAAGGCCAGUGGGGGUGUAUGGACACAGAAAUACUAGAGCCCCAGGGGCCACUGUAAGGACUUUGGCUUUACUGAGAGGUGGGGAAAUGCUGGAGGCCUUUGCUCUAGAAGUAAAAGACACCACCAUGUAACCUGUUUUUAAGACUUCUGAGGACAGACCUUAAAGGAACAAGGGUGGAAACAGGAAGCCUGGGAGCCUGGUUGGGAGAUGUGAGCUUAACUCGGGCAGAAGGCAAUGGCUCUGCAUUGAAAGUUCUCUUCCUCCCACUUUGCUACCCCUGGGCCCUUUCUCCAGAUGCCCUAGCACACCCUUUAGUGCCCCAGACCAAACACAGACUCCUAACAGGCAAGAAAACUGCCUCUACUCCUCAGGUCACAGACCUGGAAGGUAGAAGCUGAAUCAUGCAUUGUGCAAAGCACUUGCCAUCCAGGCUCUAUAAGAACCCCAGAAACAAAGCCCCAUUCAGGUCCCCACUCUAUAGAGGAAAAGCCUGAGGCCUCUGGCCCAGGGUCACUCAGCUAUGAUGCCAUUGUUAAAAAAAAUUAAUAAACAGAAACUUCAGUUAAAUAGAGCUGGGAGGUCAGAAGGGGGAGCUCUCACACUCUACAAUAGCAGACUGUUGAAGAUUGUUGGGAAGAAGAUUCUUCUCAAUCCUGACAACAACCCAGCCAAUUAAAAGCCCUGCCAACUUCAUUUCUCCUGCCUCCUUCCCUUGUCACAUGGGGACUUGCCUGCAGCUCACUGUGGUUGCAGACCCUGAAUUGCAAUUCUCUGCCGAUCUCAAAUAAACCCAAUUUUGCUGGAGAAGUAACUGACAGUCUGUUUUAGGUCAACAUUUUGAUGGCUUUUACUGGGAUCUAAAGACCUCUGAUGGGCUGCUAUUCUAAGGCCUCCUCAGACAACCAUUUAGCCUUUUUGCAUUUCUUUUUCUUGGGGAUGGAGCUGGAGUGACUGUGAGGAGAUACCCCACAUCCAAGAGCAGAGAAGCCCCAGCAAGACGGUCAAAUAACAGGGAAGGAACAUAGCCCCGACCAUCAACAGAAAAUUGGAUAAAAGAUUUACUGAGCAUGGCCCCGCCUAUCAGAACAAGACCAAAUUUCCCCCUCAGUCAAUCUCUCCCAUCAGGAAGCUUCCAUAAGCCUCUUAUCCUUCUCCAUCAGAGGGCAGACAGACUGAAAACUACAAUCACAGAAAACUAACCAAUCUAAAUCACAUAGAUCACAGCCUUGUCUAACUCAAUGAAACUAUGAGCCAUGUCCUAUAGGGCCACUCAAGACGGACAGGUCAUGGUGGAGAGUUCUGACAAAAUGUGGUCCACUGGAGAAGGGAAUGGCAAACCACUUCAGUAUUCUUGCCUUGAGAAGCCCAUGAACAGUAUGAAAAGGCAAAAAGAUAGGACACUGAAAGAUGAACUCCACAGGUCAGUAGGUGACCAAUAUGCCACUGGAGACCAGUGGAGAAAUAACUCCAGAAAGAAUGAAGAGACGGAGCCAAAGAAAAAACAGCACCCAGUUGUGGAUGUGACUGGUGAUGGAAGUAAAGUCUGAUGCUGUAAAGAGCAACAUUGCAUAGGAACCUGGAAUGUUAGGUCCAUGAAUCAAGGCAAAGUGGUCAAACAGGAGAUGGCAAGAGUGAACAUUGACAUUUUAGGAAUCAGCAAACUAAAAUGGACUGGAAUGGGUGAAUUUAACUCAGGUGACCAUUAUAUCUACGGGCAAAAAUUCCUUAGAAAUGGAGUAGCCAUCAUAGUCAACAAAAGAGUCCAAUAUGCAGUACUUAGAUGCAAUCUCAAAAGGAACAAAAUGAUUUCUGUUCAUUUCCAAGGCAAACCAUUCAAUAUCACAGUAAUCCAGGUCUAUGCCCCAACCAAUAAUGCUGAAGAAGCUGAAGCUGAACAGUUCUAUGAAGACCUACAAGAACUUUUAGAACACCCCCAAAAAGAUGUCCUUUCCACUAUAGGGGACUGGAAUGCAAAAGCAGGAAGUCAAGAGAUACCUGGAGUAACAGGCAAAUUUGUCUUGGAGUACAGAAUGAAGCAGGGGAAAGGCUAAUAGAGAGAAUGCAUUGGUCACAGCAAACACUUCUGACAACACAAGAGAAGACCCUCUACACAUGGACAUCACCAGAUGGUCAAUACCAAAAUCAGACUGAUUAUAUUCUUUGCAGCCAAAGAUGGAGAAGCUCUAUACAGUCAGCAAAAACAAGACUGGGAGCUGACUGUGGCUCAGAUCAUGAACUCCUUAUUGCCAAAUUCAGACUUAAAUUGAAGAAAGCAGGGAAAACCACUAGACCAUUCAGGUAUAACCUAAGAGCUUUAUUAAGAUUCAAUUGGCAACACUUGUAGAGACCCUCCAAAUCCCUUUUACAAAAGCAUUGCUGUUGGUCUCUCUAAAUCAAAGAGCCACCUCCUGUUGAGCUCUCACACCCUUUGAGAUAAUCACAGGAUGUGCAGUGCACUGG